GUAAGGAAUAUUGGACAAUGCCCGCAAGGGUGAUCCAGCCAUGCCGCGUGCAGGAAGACGGACCUAUGGUUUGUAAACUGCUUUUGAACAAGAGAAAACCCCCUUACGUGUAAGGGGCUGAUAGUAUUGUUAGAAUAAGCAUCGGCUAACUUCGUGCCAGCAGCCGCGGUAAGACGAAGGAUGCAAGCGUUAUCCGGAUUCAUUGGGUUUAAAGGGAGCGUAGGCGGCUUGAUAAGUCAGUGGUGAAAUCUUCUCGCUUAACGAGAAAACUGCCAUUGAUACUGUCAAGCUUGAGUACAGUUGCCGUUGGCGGAAUAUGACAUGUAGUGGUGAAAUACAUAGAGAUGUCAUAGAACACCGAUUGCGAAGGCAGCUAACGAAACUGUAACUGACGCUGAGGCUCGAAAGUGCGGGGAUCAAACAGGAUUAGAAACCCCGGUAGUCC
rnacentral:rRNA from 1 species